GCGGCCGAGGGGUGAGGACUGGUGGGCAGGAAAUACAAGCAGCAGGCAAUGGGGGGAAAUCUGUCUCCAGGAAAACACUACCUUCUGGUAGUACAGAGGGGCUCUCGAGGUGGGGAGUUAGCUUAGCUUUUUAUCACAGGCUUUUACUAUUUUUUUCUCUUAAAACUUUAAGAGUUUCUAGUUUUAUUCCCUAAAAAGCCUAAAAUUGUGAGCACACAAGGCAUAUUGUGUUGAAAGGAAAGCUAGCUCUACUUAAAGUCUUAAAAAUAAGUUCACAUUUGAACUCUUUAGAUUAAAGCUUACACCUGUAAGUACAAACAGCCAGCAAACCAUGAAGCCCCCCGCCUUGGUUGCCAUGGGCACCAGAACACCAGUCGCCUGCGUGAAGAAGGUGAACUCACCUGUGUAGAUACAGUCCACGUAGGUGGGGAAUUAGUAUUUCCAUGCUGAGCUCUAUCUCACUGAAUGUCUGUCAGCCCAGGGAUGGGAAAGCUGUAGCUCACUUCAUGAGGGGAACACUCGCUGAUAGAAACUCAAGAUUUCCCUGUGUGGGUUUCAGCAGCCUCCAGACUCCUUAGGAUGCCGCAACAGUUUUGUUCAUGACUGAAAAAUGAAUCACUAGAAAGUAUUAAAAGAAGAAACAGAUACAUUCGCUGAAAUCACUUUAUAAGGACAACUGGAUACUACGAAUGAGUCUUAGCAUAUGAGUUUGGUGGUAGUGUCACGACAUGCUCAGACACUAACAAGCUGUGUUUAUGUGGGCUUCUGUCAGCUCAUGGACACACCCAGAAGGUCAUUUGUUAAUUAGAUGGGUGUUCUCUGUGCAUUUGGUUAAAUAUUUGUUAAAAUAAGAAUACAAAAAAGUAAGAAUAAGAAACUAGACAUGUUCCCAUCUUAUAGAUGAAAACAGUUUAUCCUACAUCCUGUUAUUCUCCCCCACGGUGUGAAGUCCACACAGAUACUUUAAAAGAGAUCUUGGACUGAAACCACUUAUACCUCCAUCAGGGCCUUUAGACUCUGGAGACUCAGAAACAGGGUCUACAGACUUAUCCAGUCUACCAAGAUGGACUUCCAAAUAUGGGAAGAUUUCUUGCUUAUGGCUCCAGAGGACAAGAGUGAAAUUCUAGGCAGAAGACAAAAGUUCAAGCCACUUUCAUCCAAUGGAAAAAUUUGUCUCUGAGAGCUGGCUUGAAAUAAUCAUCCAAGGUUCUGCAGAGGUUAUUGUACCUCACAGGUUGUUGGCUCCUACCUUAGGCUGCACUACAUAUGCAAACCAAAAUUGAGGGAAGAGACCUUUGCAGAUUUCAGCUGGAAAGCAAAGUCUUUGUGUCAACAACAUCCUGGUACCCUAGGAGGAGAGCUGCAGGAGCUGGGGCACCAAAUAGCCAGGCUUCAAUUCACCCAAGUGGAAGGAGCCUCAGAUUGCCCCUAUCUCUAGAACUGGUAUCAUUCUCCAAUGAGAGUAAACUCAAAGAAAUUUAGAGGGGUUGGCACAGAGAGCCUUUCCUUUUCUUCUCCUCUGUUGAAUGCCUAGGACACAGAACACCACUGAAGAACUACACAAAAUCACACAACCAGCAAACAAUGUCACGGUCACUAUCUCCUUCAUGGGCACACUCAACCUUGGAUCAAACAUAUGCCUCAUUACACCUUUCAGUUAAAAGUGAACCUCUCCUACUGGCAGGCCGCCUCAAAUAGCAUCAAAGCAAAAUGAAACACAGGCAGCAUUUAACAACGCUGGUAACCAUGGAAACAUAUCAUUAAAGAAUAUAUAAACAGGAAUGAAUAAUUAGAUGAGAAAUUCAUUUCCAUAUUUAUCUUUUUUUCCCAAGAGCCAGGAAAAGAAGCUCUCAUUUGCCUCAAAUCUCAAUUUGGACACCUCCUCUUUAGCCUGCCUUGUAAUUGAAAAAAAUAAAAAAGGACAUUUUUGUAAAAUGGGAAAUUCAAUAUUGCCUAUCUUAAUAGACAAAUUUAUUUUCAGGCCACUGACUUCAGAACAACUCACUGUCCAUUGUGGUCUGCUGUGACACUGAAUACAACCAAGGGCACUGAAACACUGGGGGUAGUACUCAUGGUGGGAAGGGGACAACAAUUAUUCAUAUUCAACAGCUGGAAGCAUGAAGGGCCUAACAUUGGCUUCCAUCUCCACUGUAGAUAGACAGAUGCAGACCCUCCCAGUGCUUUACCCUUGUGCAGCUUCAGCUCAGCUGUAUGGUAGGCUAAGCUGGUCAUGAACUUAGCAAACAGAAGCUUUGCAAUUUUAUGAGUUCCCAUUUGUCAAUUCUUGAUCUUAUAGCACAAGCCAUUGGUUUUCUGUUCAGGAAUCUAAGACCAAAAGGCAACCAAAAGAUUGGGAAAAGAUCUUUACAAAUCCUAAAUCCGAUAGAGGGCUAAUAUCCAAUAUAUAUAUAUAAAGAACUCAAGAAGUUGGACUCCAGAAAACCAAACAACCCUAUUAAAAAAUGGGAUACAAAACUAAACAAAAAAUUCUCAACUGAGGAAUACCGAAUAGCUGAGAAGCACCUGAAAAAAUGUUCAACAUCCUUAAUCAUCAGGGAAAUGCAAACAAAAGCAACUCUGAGAUACCACAUCACACCAGUCAAAAUAGCUAAGAUCAAAAAUUUAAGUGACAGCAGAUGCAGGAGAGGAUGUGGAGAAAGAGGAGCACUCCUCCAUUGUUGGUGGGAUUGGAAGCUAGUACAACCACUCUGGACAUCAGUCUGACGGUUCCUCAGAAAAUUGGACAUAGUACUACCAGAGGAUCUCGCAAUACCUCUCCUGGGCAUAUACUCAGAAGAUGUUCCAACUUGUAAUAAAGACACAUGCUCCACUCUGUUCAUAGCAGCCUUAUUUAUAAUAGCCAGAAGUUGGAAAGAACCGAGAUGUCCCUCAACAGAGGAAUCGAUCCAGAAAAUGUGGUACAUUUACACAAUGGAGUACUACGCAGCUAUUAAAAACAAUGAAUUUAUGAAAUUCUUAGGCAAAUGGAUGCAUCUGGAGGAUAUCAUCCUGAGUGAGUUAAUCCAAUCACAAAAGAAGUCACAUGAUAUGCACUCACUGAUAAGUGGAUAUUAGCCCAGAAGCUCAGAAUCCUUCUUAGAAGGGGGAACAAAAUACCCAUGGAAGGAGUUACAGAGACAAAGUUCAGAGCAGAGACUGAAGGAAUGAACGUAGCAAACUGGAAAUGUGCUUACAGAUAUUCAGUCCAAGAACAGUGCAUUGGAAUCACUCGGUGGGGCAAAUGUGAUAGAGGGCCCCACUGUUGAUGGUUUGAUUUAAUUGUUAACUCAAUACAUCAUAGAAUCCUCUGGAAAGAGAGUCUCAAAGAGGGAUUGUGGAUGUUGAGAGUUAUCCUGUGAGGGAGUUGUCUUAAGUUAAUCAGUGUGGCAGAUCCAUCCCAAUAUGGGCGCCAUUCUCUAGGUGCGGGUCCAGAACUAUAUUGGAGUCAAGCUGAGUAUAAGCAAGCAAGCAAGCAAGCGGGCAAGCGAGCAAGCAAGCAUGAAUGCAUGCAUUAUUCUUUCUUCCCCUGAUUAUGGAUGUGAUGUGUAAGUGUUUGAAGUUUCUGCCUUGGCUUGCCCAUAAUGAUGCACUGUAAUCUUGAUGUGUAAACUGAAGAAAACCCCUUCUUCCCUUCUUGCUUUUUGUAGGAAAAUUUGGUCAUAGCAACAGGAUUACCACUCAAGCCAGGAGAUUCUAAUUCAGUUGCUACUGGACUCUUGUGCUUGAGAUCCACUGAGGUACGCCUACUACUUUAUCACUGAAAAGCCUAAGCUAAGAGAUACAAUACCUGUAUACCUGUUGGCCUCUUCACCCCUCACCCCACACAGCUCUACUGUAUGCAUGACUUUGUCCUGGUUCUGUGGUGGGCAGAACUCCCUGGAUUAUGUGGCUUCCUUUGGCCUUCUUGAUAGGAGCUAUCCGGAUUGGAACAGAGGAUUAAAGUGACCGGAGGUACUCUGGCUUUCUCUUGGAAUGCUGCAUUUCCUCCUACAAAUACACAGCAGGUAGCUAUCAGUCAAAGAGACAGACAGAUGUGUGCAGCACACUUGCACUUCUCUCAGCUUGGAGCCGAGCCUAAGGAAGACUAGCCUGGAUCAUCUGAAUCUCAGCCAACCUGGUUACCGGGAGUUUUAUAGUGGUUGGCACAGAACAUUAUCACAGCAUUAGCCAAUCUAUACAGAAAUGAAGCCGGUGUUAGCAGCAGACCCAAGCUUGCAGCUCUAGGUCCCUGCACUCUCAGUUUCUGCUUGCUUUCCUGCAGGGAGUGAAUAGCAAUCAGUCCCAGCACCCAGUGCCUUCCCUGGGUCUCUUUGAUUCACCCACAUCUCUCAAGCCGAGGAGGCGUUGUCAGUUGUCUCAGUUGAGCUCACUUCUCUCCUACUGCUGAUCCUUGGGUGGAUGUAGUUUCACACUUCCAGAGUCUAGAGGAACCGCUCUUCACCAGUGUAUUCAGAGGCCACCAUUACUGAGCUAAGCUCUCCUGGAUCAAAUGUAGUUUGCACUUGACCUGAGGCUGUCCAGAGAGCUGGUGCCGAGUACUGGGAGUUUAGACACAAUGCAUGGUUUUGAUGGAGAACAUAUCUUUGGGUAAGUGGCUUUGGUGCUCCUUAAAUUAUGUCUAAUCUGAAGAAUGUGCGGUAACAAGGCUGCUUUCAGACACUAGGCAUCUGUGUUUACAAACUCUCUGACAGGCAAGGCCAAGUUAAAUAAACAGAUAACGAAUAUUGGCCAUUAGCUGAACAAUGCUCACAUGGUAUUUAUAGUUUGUACCUUUCUGUGGGAAACUUUCUCACACGGAGGCUCAUCUCUAGGGAGCACAUUUUUUUUCUCUAGAAAAUGUAGGUGUUUUAUUCAAUAUAAUGAUAGAUGUUUCUGGCUCCUUGACCUCACUUUACCUGUGAUUUCAUGUUGAAGGUUUUAUUUUUGUUCUGAGGUAGAGAUAUAAGUUUGUACCAAGUAAAUGAGUAAUAUUGGGAUGACUUUGCAGUAUCAAGAAAAAAAAAGGAGUAGAAAGUUAGGCUUUAUUAUUAGUUUCAACUCCCUCCUCACUUCAGGGGUAGCUCAUAAUAUGUGACUCUCUGGAGGUGCCAGAGGCUUCUAUGUGACUACGAGUUCCUUGAUGACCAACUUGGACAGAAGCAAUGAAUACCCAAUUCCUGGGACUUUUGUGAGGGCUUGGAAAGCAACCACUCCAAGGAAUCCUGGAAAUCCGUAGCCUUUUCCAUAUGGACUGGUGAGUCGCAAACACAACGGAAGCCAAAAAAAUCAUUUCAGAUUUUGAACUUAAAACAUAUAUGCACGUCUACAGAAGAAUGUUACAUGAUUUCCUAACUAAAGAAAUUCAUCUCUCCCUUUUGCUGUUUUUCAUUUUAAAAAGUGCGUUAACUAAUUAAGAGAGUUGCUCUCAUUUUUCAGGAUAUCCACUGGGAACUAACUGUGUAGUGUAUACUCUGCGAGACUCCCUUCUUUCAUAUACAAAAUACUUAUGGUGUAGGUAUCCAACUUAUAAUCAGCACAUAAUUUUAUAUACAUAUAUGGUGCAAUGUGGUACAUUUGAUUCAUGUAUACAAUACACCAAGAACAAAUCAGGGCAAUUAGCAUUUCUUUGCAUAAUCACUGAAUUCCUUAAUUACAAACCAAUGAUGGCAAAAAGCAUUCUCAGAUGUUAGUGGUUUUGGCUUCAUAUCAAACUAAUUUUUAAUUUGAUUGAUUGAUUAAACAACUUAUUAUUGAGUGGCAUUUUGCAAUGUGCUUUGAUGGCACCAUGGAAGAAAGGCAGAAUAUGAAGCAGUGGUGUGUGUUUUAAUUAUUUUACAGUACUGUAAUUUUUUCUUGCAUAUAUCUUAUGGUAGUAUACAAUUGUUUCCCCUCUAACCCACAAGGAAGGCAUUCCAAAGCUCUCCCAACAUGUGCUUGAAACCAUGGAUUGUACCUAAUCCUACACAAAUUAGAUAUGUUCCCACCAUGCACAGAGCUAUCAUAAAACAGUCUAUAAUUUAGGCACAAUGAGAGAUUAGCAACAGAGACAAGUAGGAUAGUUGGGAAUGUGGCUUCCUUUUCUCUCAGAAUAUCUUACUGUUUCUUCACCAUUUCACUUGAAGAAUGCACUUCAUAUAUUCUCUUCUACAUGUGUGAGUCACUGCUUCUUACUUGGGGGCAAUUACUAAAGAUAUAUGACAACUUAAUACAAGUACUCUACACUAUGAUCAAUGGUUGGGUAGUUGAAAUGCUUACUGUGGGAUGUAAUAGAUAAACUAUUUAUUC